rnacentral:lncRNA from 1 species
AUGUACUCAUUUUCAGUUGGCCCUUGGAUUCAACACAGCUUUAAGCUAAGUGAAGAAAUCUGCCAGAUAUACCAUGAGGAUUUCUGGAAGAAUAAUUCUAUUAUAAGACUCUUAAAACUUUUAGCCCAAGGACACCAGUGUGAGUAUAAUAGCUCUGUUUAUAGUGUAAUGAUAAUUUUCCUGAAUGUAGUUGGAUAAUUGAAACAUGAAUGGUUGUCACUUGC